rnacentral:rRNA from 1 species
GAUGAACGCUGGCGGCGUGCCUAAUACAUGCAAGUCGAGCGAACGGACGAGAAGCUUGCUUCUCUGAUGUUAGCGGCGGACGGGUGAGUAACACGUGGAUAACCUACCUAUAAGACUGGGAUAACUUCGGGAAACCGGAGCUAAUACCGGAUAAUAUUUUGAACCGCAUGGUUCAAAAGUGAAAGACGGUCUUGCUGUCACUUAUAGAUGGAUCCGCGCUGCAUUAGCUAGUUGGUAAGGUAACGGCUUACCAAGGCAACGAUGCAUAGCCGACCUGAGAGGGAGUACGGCCAGAGGGGAAGAAAACCAGACCCAGAACUCGUAGGGAGGGACACGAAAGGGACUCCUCCGGAAGGGGCGAGAGAGGGAUGGGGCACAGCCGGGGGAAGAAUGAAGGUGUUAGGACCGAAAAACUCUGUAAUUGGGAAAAAAAAAAUAUGAAGGAAACUGGGAAAAUCUUGACGGUACCAAAUAAAAAAGCCAGGGCUAACUCCGUG